rnacentral:lncRNA from 1 species
AUGGAAGACUACCAGGCUGCGGAGGAGACUGCUUUUGUUGUUGAUGAAGUGAGCAAAUUGUAAAAGAGGCUAUAGAAAGCACAAUUGGUGGUUAACGCUUAUUAACACAGCAAAGUGAACCAGUGGAACACAAAUGUAGUAGAACAAACUUCAAGCCAACUCACCAAGCUGGGAAAACCACUUAAAUACAUUGUGACCUGUGUAAUUAUGCAAAAGAAUGGAGCUGGAUUACACAUGGCAAGUUCCUGCUUCUGGGACAGCUCUGCUGACAGGAGCUGCACUGUGCGAUGGGAGAAUAAAACCAUGUACUGCAUCGUCGGCACCUUUGGACUGUGUAUU